rnacentral:rRNA from 1 species
CCUACGGGGCGCAGCAGGCGCGAAAACUUUACAAUGCGGGCAACCGUGAUAAGGGAACCUCGAGUGCCUGUACAUGCAGGCUGUCUGGGUGUCUAAAACACACCCAAAGAAAGGGCCGGGCAAGACCGGUGCCAGCCGCCGCGGUAA